rnacentral:rRNA from 1 species
UACGUAGGGGGCUAGCGUUGUCCGGAUUUAUUGGGCGUAAAGCGCGUGUAGGCGGCUACGCAGGUCCGUUGUGAAAACUAGAGGCUCAACCUCUAGACGUCGACGGAAACCGUGUGGCUAGAGUCCGGAAGAGGAGAGUGGAAUUCCUGGUGUAGCGGUGAAAUGCGCAGAUAUCAGGAAGAACACCAAUGGCGAAGGCAGCUCUCUGGGACGGUACUGACGCUGAGACGCGAAAGCGUGGGGAGCGAACAGG